CCCAGCCUUCACGCCUCCCGCAGCGAGAGGAGGGGCUGCUGCCAAGACAGCCCAGCCCAGACUCCGAGAGGCGAACACAAUCCAGUCUCGGGGGAAGGCUCGGCUCUGGAUCCCGGGGUCGAUCGAGGCGAAGUUCUCGGGGACACUCUCUAGAACGCAGGGGGCAGUGAAGGUCCGUGACACGGGUGGGGGGGAAGAGGGAGGCUCUGGAGGCGUGAGUUACUGGGAGGAAAGGCACCUUCACACACACACACACACACACACACACACACACACACCCCAGGGCUGUUUCCUCGGCCUCCCACGGGAGGAGUCUGAAGCUGCUGAGGAGGGGGAACAGUGCGUCUUCACCCCUCCCCAUUUUCCCCCUGCAAGUCCAAGGAAAUAGCUGUUGGAUGCACGAUUUUGAUUCAAUCCACCAAGCCAGUUGCCAGAGCUCCCCCUAGCGCCGCUUCGAGGGCGCUGCAGCGGUUGCGGAUGGGAGUGGGCGAGGCACAGCCGGGGGCGGCGGGGCUGCUGGGGGUUGCUCCGCGCUGCACCCGGGCGCCGCACAGCUUCUUCACCCAGCCCGGGCGAAAGCCGGGGCCGGAAGCCGCUUCUGUUCCCACUCCAGGUCCGCGAUGAGAAGGGCACGUGGUCGGUCGCCUUUGUUGAGAGCGCGGUGCUGGGCACAGAAAGCCGUGCGGCUUGGGAACUCCGCACCGGCCCUGGGAUCCCUAUGGCAAAGAAGUGUCAGUGAUGGGAUGCGACACAGGAGCCUUGAAAUCCGCAGAACACCAGAUUAGGGUGCUCCUGCCAACCACCUCGCCACCAGGUUUUUUGAGCUUCAGCUUAAACACGCUGGGCACAUUGGAUCUAGGGAAACCUGAAGCUGGGUGUGGAGUGCUGCGAGCCCCCCAAGAGAGGUGUUCUCCCCUUUUAUCUUCCUAGAGCCCAGGGACCUUGGGUAGUCACCCAAAGGGUUAAUGCCCUGAACAUAAUGCGUGACCCAAAACAAGCCCCUUGGCAACCUACCAGCGCGCUAAGACAUUCCACACAAGCAGCGCUCUGCACAGCCCUGAUACUGUGCUGGGCUCCGCACCCACAGCUGGAGCUGGCCGAGCGCACUGUCUCCAACACACCAUGCUCCAAGCAUUCUCCUCACCCACUCGAGACCCCUAGGGCCGCCGGCACAGCAUGCAACAUGCGAGCCUUGAACAUCCAGAGAGACUAAAGCUCCCAAGCAUAGCACACAGAAACACUGGCUCUGGGAGGGGCUGAGCAUGGAUGGUGCUGUCAGGCCGUGGCAUCCUCUGAAAGUGCUGGGCUCAGGCAGACAGAAAACCCAGAAAUCCAACCAGGUCCACAGACAAGCCCUUCUUCCUCCAGCAAAGAGACCAGCUGGACCCCACGAGAGCCUGCAGGCAGGACUUGGAGUGCUGCUGGGGAGCUGGGGGAUUGGAAGAGGCUGGAGGCUCCCGGGAAUGUGGAGGGGGAGCUUCCAGAGAAGCCCCUUGUUCUCUCAGGUUGACCAGCUCCCCCUCCACGCUUUCCAGCUCCUAGGACACCACAGGGCCUGCUGCCCUUGAUUCAUGGUUCAGGGCUCAGUCUAAACUGCACUCCCAGCAACGCGGAGCUGCUGGGAUGACAGCCCAGUGCCUUGAAAUACUGCAGGCUGCCUCCAGAGAAGCCAGGGGCUGGGGAUGCCCUAGGAUCCCAGAAUGGCCACUGGCACUGAGACCUGAGCCUUGGGUGUGUGUGUGUGUGUGUGUGUGUGCUUGUGUCCCUCUGGCACAGUGCAGACACACCAGGAGCUGUGUCUUGGACACAUUUACAGAGUGUCGGCUUGGUGCCCAGCCCAUGCAAUACACUAACUGUCCACCAUGAACAGUGACUAAGAGCAGCAAGUGCCUCUGCAUGCAUUAGUUCAUUUAAUUUACCCCGUGACCCUCGGAGGUAGUUAGCAUCCAUAUUUUAGAAAUAAGAGAAUUUGCCCAAGAUCACACCACUAAGAGCCCAGCCUCUACCUGGUGGGGCUCACAGUCUAGUCGGGAAGAAUCUGAAACCUUAUGGUACAAGCUGGCAAAUGGCCCUGAUGUUAUUUAAAUGGUCAUUUUGAGAAUUGCCAGCUGAGCCUAGGCUAGAUUCUGGGAUCUGGUCAUGCCUGAACUAGCAGGUUGAGAGCAGUGCAGCACCCCUUAAUGUUUCAGGCUCCAAAUUCCAGGGACAAGGGAUAGAGAGACACAGGGCAGUGGUGUCUGUACGCUGCCCCAUGCCCAUUUCUGUGUCCAUCAAGACUCCCGUGUGGAAGGGGACAGCAGCGUGACUGGCAUGAGCCUAGGCAAAAGGGGGGAAUUUCUUGGCUCAUGCAUUAAACCGUACAAUGGGCAGGUGUGCACCUGGCUUCAGGCACAGCUGGAUCCAGGCACAAAUCUUCUGGAGAAUGCUCUCUCUCAGUCUCCUGUGACUUUCUUCUCUGAACUUGAGCUCCCCACUCUUCCUGCAGACCAGCUUCUCUAUAUAGCCGUGGGAAGCAGCUCUGGCCUCCUACCUCACAAUUUACCGCCCAAGAGAGACUGUUUUCUUCCCCAAUUGCUAACUCAGAAAAUCCGAGAAAAAAGACUGUGUCCCAAACCUAGGUCCCAUCCCAAACCUAUGACCAGGCUGAGGGGCAGUUGGCUCACCCUCUCAGAAAAGAAUGGUACCAGGUGACAGAGCAGGGAUGUCCUCCAGAAGCUGCAAGCCAAGGACUUGGGGAGACAGAGGGCUGCCUCAGGCCCUGAACGGUGCCGCAGCUCUGGAAGGAAGCUUCUCCUUGCUCCACACCUGGACACCUGCUGCCUCCAGGUUUGCCACCCAGGGGAAGGCGGGUGAAGCCCCCAGGGCAGGGGACUAAGUUUUCCAGCAGGCUCACCACAGGGAUCUCAGCAGGAGCCACCCUCAGGGGACUUAGAGCAGGGGACAUCCAUGGAGGUCAGAGUGGAAGAAUGUGGCUGGUACCUCAUAGGUGGCUCCUCUGGGGACUUUCAGAUGGACCUGGGAUAGGCUUUGAGGGGAAGCCAGGCACCAGCCAGCAGGGUGGAGGGGACAGGGCCAUACAAGCCAACAUGGCCACCUUUAAUCCCCAGCUGGUUGGGACCUGGGGACCUCUGGGGUCAGGUAACACCAUCUAUUUACAUGUUCAGAUGAAAAAGACUCACAGUGUUGGAAUGGCAUUCCUCGGUGGUGUGAUUCGAGAUGACUAUCCUGCACCGGCUCUCUGGUCACUGUGGUUUAUUCCAGGGGCUGGGCCUUGCACGUGCCAGGCAAGUGCUCUGACAUUGAACUACACCCCAGCCCUGCAUCCUGUUCUUGUUAAAAGAAGUGGCAGACAAAAACACAGGCCUGGGCUGGGGUGUAGCUGGUGGCCAGGGGCUCGCCCAGCAUGUGUGAGGCCUGUUUGAUCCUCAGCAUAUUAAAACCCAUCCUCACACAAAGCAACAAGACAAAGCACCAGCCCUUCUCCAAGGGCUGUGGCAGGGCCUUCUGGAGGGAGCCUGCUCAUCCUUACGGCUGACCAACGUCCCAGCUCCACAGUCCUACCCAUCAAUCAUCGCAGGGCAGUUUGCUUAGAGCUGCUAGAUUACCUGGCGAGGUGGUGCAGAAGAGGCAAAUGUGCCAGGGAGAUCUUUUCAGCAGCUUGGGCAGAAGCUAAAAAGGAAGACGUGAAACUCCAUAGAACAGCCAUGAACCAGGCAGCCAGAGACCGAAGGCAGGUUCCGGCUCAGCCGAAGACUCACCUAGUGACCUGAGAUGAGUCACCCCCUGAGCAAGCCCACAUUCUCUCCUCUGUAAAGCUGCAUGAGAGGAGAGGUAAGGCCCUGAAUCAACUUGGAUGCUUUGGAACUCAGAAAUGCAACCAUGGCUUCCAGCCUUCUAAUGACCUGAGCCUUUUCGUCCAAGCAGAUUAAGUGCCGAUUGAAUACCAAAUUCUGCAGCUACCUUCAAGCACGGACAUCUGCCUCCCACUCAUGCAUUCAAUAAACACUCAUUCAU
rnacentral:lncRNA from 1 species